AUGGCGUGGAGCGGCGAGGGGAGGGACUGGGCCGCGGCGGACUCGGCGGCGGAGGGAGGAGCGCGGCUGCGGGCGGGCGGCGAGCGAGGCGCUCAAAGUCAGCCUCGCAGACAUUGCAGCAGAGCCCCGAACUCGGGAGGAGGCGGCGGCGGCGGCGGCGGCGGCGCGGCGGUGGCGGAGGAGGCGGAGGAGGCGGAGGAGGCGGAGGAGGCGGCGGCCGAGGCGGAGGGACGACCCGGCCCCAAGCCCUCCCUCCCGCCAGCGCACGCCUGCCGGUGGCCCCGCGGCCGCCACUGUGCUUGGCAGCACUGCUGCUCUGAGGGAAGAGCUCGCCGGGGCGCCGGGGAAGGACGGGGCGGCGGGGCGCCUUCGUGGAGUGAGCCUGACGGAACCCAGGCUCGGAGCCGCGGCGGCCUCGGGGAGCUUUUGGACUGUGAGCUAUUUCAGAACUCUGUUCUCAGGACCUGUUAUUUUAACAGUCAGGAGAAACACAUCCAGAAGGUGCACACUAGACCAAAAGAGGAACAGGGAAAUCUAAAGACUCCAGAUGACAUCAGCGCUACUUUUCAACAGCCUUCUCCAUUUCCUUUCUCAGAAGUAGAGACAGACCUCAGAGACAGAUGAACACUGCUAUUUGCAUUUAAUUGGAAACAAAAGAUGAAGAAGGAGAAGCAGUAUAUUCGCUAAGGAGUCUAUCUGCUUGCUGCUGCAGACCUAUGUAUUAAGGAAUUCUUUUGCUUCAUCUUGCAUAGGAGUUGAUCAGCUCUGUGGUCAGACUACUUUGGAAUUUGCCUGUCUUUCAUCUUGUUGUUGCCAGAGGAAAUCCUGGUUGGAAUGUAACAGGACAUCUCCGUCUGAUUACUAUGGAAG
rnacentral:lncRNA from 1 species